CAGUACACGGUAAUACGAAGGGGGCUAGCGUUGCUCGGAAUGACUGGGCAUAAAGGGCGCGUAGGCGGCGGCCAAAGUCAGGCGUGAAAUUCCCGGGCUCAACCUGGGGGCUGCGUUUGAUACUUGGUUGCUUGAGUGGGGAAGAGGGUCGUGGAAUUCCCAGUGUGGAGGUGAAAUUCGUAGAUAUUGGGAAGAACACCGGUGGCGAAGGCGGCGACCUGGUCCUUUACUGACGCUGAGGCGCGAAAGCGUGGGGAGCAAACAGGAUUAGAUACCCCCGUAGUCCCUGUCUCUUAUACAC
rnacentral:rRNA from 1 species